AUGGGGUGGGCCGCCCAGGGGCCAGGGCCCCUGCUUGGAGAAGAGGCCACAGCCCCUUCCCUGCCGCUCCCGCCCCUGGCUCCCUCCUCCCCGGCCCCGCCCAGCCCCACCGGGAGAGACGGGCGGACCCAGGGCCCAACAGGCGCAGAGCGGCUCCACCCGAUCCCUGAAGGGUUGGUCUCUGGACCCGAGGGCUGUGGAACCUCUGGACUGCUGGCACGCCGGGGGCUGCUGCGGGAGGCCAGGGAGGGACGCUGUCCCACGGACACUGAGGCCUCGGUGGACCCCAUGCCGGGUGCCGGGAAUAUCCACAUGAAGGCAGAAGCCCACGCAGCAGGGACUGCUCACCCCGCCCUCCUGCCCCACAGCCCGAGGGUCCCCGGGGCUCGGCCUGCGGAAGCCCGUCCAGCUUCUGACCAGGGGCCCGCGCCCAACUCCAGCGAGCGUUGCUGAAGCACGUGGCCAUCGUGUGGUGUCACGGGCCGUGUGGCUGCGCCCCAGGACUGAGCGUGCACCCCUGAAGCACGGCGGCUGGCUCAGGGGUGAGCCCCCUGGAGGGAGGGCCGGGCCCGCUCAGCCGGGUGGUGGCGGGGGGCACACAGCUCUCUGGGAGGAAGAAGGAUGGGGGGUUGGCGGGCUCACUGUGUAGUGGGACACUUCCCUCGUCUUGGGUGUGUUGUCUGAUGACAGCUCUGUUGGCGCGGCUCACACACCCUGUGUUCACCCGUUAGCGUGCGCAAUGAAGCCAUUUUCACUGUAUUUGCAGAGUUGUGCAGCCAUCAUGUGCCCGUCAGUCUGAAACCUGGUGCCGUACCCACUGCUCCGCACCCCCUCCUCGGCCGGAGGCAGCCACCGAGCCACUUGUUGUCUUAGGAGUUGCUUACUCUGGACAGCUCGUGGAAGCAAAGCUGCAGCAUGCGACCUCUUACGUCUGCCUUCUUUCCCUCAGCAUGAUUUCCAGAUUCAUCCGUGUCGUAGCUCUGUCAGCGCGUUGUUCCUUUUAAUGGUUGAAUAAUAUUCCUUUGUACAGAUUUUAUUUCUUUACUCAUCGUGUGUUAGACAUUUGUGUUGCUUCUACUUUUUGGCCACUUUGAAUAAAGCUGCUAUGGACAUGUGUGUAUGAAUUUUCCUGUGGUUGCAUGUUUUCAUUUCUCUUGGACAUGCACCCAUGAGUGGAAUUGCUGGGUCACAGGGUUAGUCUGUUAGUUUUUUGAGGAACUGUACUAUUUUGGGUUCCCAUGAGCAGUGUAGAAAGGUUCAUCUGGCUUUUUAAUUAUUCUUAUUCUCUGGAGACUAAAGUCAUCCAUCCAUCACCCACCCCUCAUCCAUCCAUCCACCUAUCCAUCCAUUCAUUUGUCCAUCCAUCCAUCCAUGCACCCACCUAUCUACCCACCCAUCUAUCCACUUACCCACCAAACCAUCCAUCCAUCCAUCCAUCCAUCCAUCCAUCCAUCCAUAGAUCAAUCUGUGUAUCUAUCUAUCUAUCUAUCUAUCUAUCUAUCUAUCUUCCAUCCAUUCAUCCACCACCUAUCUCUACUUAUCCAAUCACUCACUCAUCCAUCCAUUCAUCCAUCCAUCCGCCCUCCACCUAUCAAUUCACCAUCCAUCCAUCAUCCAUGAGUUCCCUGAGCACCUUCUGAAACCCAGGCCUAGGCAAAUGAGCUGUGGAAUUCAGUGGGGUCGUGGCUCUCUGCCCUCCAAAUCCCAGGAGGGUCUUUAGGCUCGGAAGCACGGUGACGGGCACAUGCACCCACAUCCAGGGGUCGGUGUCUUCCUGCAGCUUUUCUUGCUUUUAAAAAAAGAAUGUGCAGAGGAUGAGCCAUGUAAUUUCAGGCCCUGGUUGAUGCUCUAGUUCAGCCACUGCUGUCCCCGCCAGGGCUUCCCCAUCCUGCAGAGCCCCCAUCCAGGCCAGCCUAUCCCAGAAGCCUUCUAGGCCAGCAGCUUAUGAAACUUAAAUGUAUGCUUGAGUGGCCCACAGGAUUGGGGGGCACUGAGAUUCCGCAUUUCCCACAAGCCCCCGGGGGGCCAGUGCUGCAGGACACUAGGGAACAGACCCAGAGCUCUCCGCGUGUCCUCCUGGCCGUCCGCACCUGGAGAUGCCCCGUACUUGAUGAGGUCCUAUUGGUGCGGGUGGACGUUUCUCUCAUCAGACGAACCUCCCCUCCCACACACCCUGCAGCUGGAAGCCCAGCUGUUCUGUCGCAGGUGUCCACAGCUUGACCGGAAGUGACUGCAGCCACAGGCCUGGUGGGAGGAGCUCGGGGGGCCGUGGAAGGACCGUCCUAGCAUGGGAGUCACCCAUGGUCCUGUGAGCCGCGGGGGUCAGGGGCUCCUAGUCUCUCAGGGGAGGACCCAGGAAAGGCAGCUGCUGCCCACAGGUAUUCCCCACAGGAGGGGCAGCCCCAGGGUGUGGCGCACGUGCCAGCGUGGGCCCUGCUGAAGUGUGUGCCCCUGUGGGCAGCUGGAGCAGCAAUGCUCCUGCCAGCAGCCAGUGGCCAGCAGGGCGGAGGAGGGUGGACGCAUGUCGGUAAUCCCCGUUGUCCCCGGGAAACUGGUCCUCACUUAAUACCUCUUGCUCCGCUGGGGCCACACCCACCUGACCGAACCACAAAUAGCACCGGACACGAAUCGAAUCAGAGGCUUUAUCUUUGGAAAUUAAUCCAGCUCAGAGCAGGAUUAACCAGGACAUCCCUGCAGACAAUGGUGCCCAAGGUCAGGGGAGCCCUGGUUUCCUUGUAUUUCCUCAGC
rnacentral:lncRNA from 1 species